CCGAGUUCAUGCCCUUCGGGGUAGAUCUCCCACCCUUUGUAUACUAUACCUUUGUUGCUUUGGCGGGCCGCCUAGCUACUGGCUUCGGCUGGUAAGUGCCCGCCAGAGGACCCAAAACCCUGUUUUACAGUGUCGUCCGAGUACUAUAUAAUAGUUA
rnacentral:misc_RNA from 1 species